rnacentral:rRNA from 1 species
GAUGAACGCUGGCGGCGUGCCUAAUACAUGCAAGUCGAGCGAAUGGAUUAAGAGCUUGCUCUUAUGAAGUUAGCGGCGGACGGGUGAGUAACACGUGGGUAACCUGCCCAUAAGACUGGGAUAACUCCGGGAAACCGGGGCUAAUACCGAAUAACAUUUUGAACCGCAUGGUUCGAAAUUGAAAGGCGGCUUCGGCUGUCACUUAUGGAUGGACCCGCGUCGCAUUAGCUAGUUGGUGAGGUAACGGCUCACCAAGGCAACGAUGCGUAGCCGACCUGAGAGGGUGAUCGGACACACUGGGACUGAGACACGGCCCAGACUACUACGGGAGGCAGCAGUAGGGAAUCUUCCGCAAUGGACGAAAGUCUGACGGAGCAACGCCGCGUGAGUGAUGAAGGCUUUCGGGUCGUAAAACUCUGUUGUUAGGGAAGAACAAGUGCUAGUUGAAUAAGCUGGCACCUUGACGGUACCUAACCAGAAAGCCACGGCUAACUACGUGCCAGCCGCCGCAGUAA